UACAGAGGGGGCAAGCGUUGUUCGGAAUUACUGGGCGUAAAGGGCGCGUAGGCGGCCUCCUAAGUCGAACGUGAAAUCCCUCGGCUUAACCGGGGAACUGCGUCUGAUACUGGAUGGCUUGAGUUUGGGAGAGGGACGCGGAAUUCCAGGUGUAGCGGUGAAAUGCGUAGAUAUCUGGAGGAACACCGGUGGCGAAGGCGGCGUCCUGGACCAACACUGACACUGAGGAGCGAAAGCCAGGGGAGCAAACGGG
rnacentral:rRNA from 1 species